rnacentral:misc_RNA from 1 species
AAGAGUUAACACUAUGGAAUGACUUUGAGGAAGAUGCCCUUGUAAGUUGGUUUGUUUUGUUGUAUUCUCUGUUGGGAGGCGGAGGAAGACUUGGAUCUUAUUCUUUGGAGAUGUGAGUUUGUGAGAUUCGUGUGGAAUCAUUUCUUUCAAACGUUUGGUUUAUUGUUAGCUCAACACAGGGAUACUUUGGUUUGAUCUAGGAACCUCCUCCAUU